rnacentral:rRNA from 2 species
UUAAGCGACUAAGCGUACACGGUGGAUGCCCUGGCAGUCAGAGGCGAUGAAGGACGUGCUAAUCUGCGAUAAGCGCCGGUAAGGUGAUAUGAACCGUUAUAACCGGCGAUUUCCGAAUGGGGAAACCCAGUGUGAUUCGUCACACUAUCAUUAACUGAAUCCAUAGGUUAAUGAGGCGAACCGGGGGAACUGAAACAUCUAAGUACCCCGAGGAAAAGAAAUCAACCGAGAUUCCCCCAGUAGCGGCGAGCGAACGGGGAGGAGCCCAGAGCCUGAAUCAGCAUGUGUGUUAGUGGAAGCGUCUGGAAAGGCGCGCGAUACAGGGUGACAGCCCCGUACACAAAAGCGCAUGUGCUGUGAGCUCGAUGAGUAGGGCGGGACACGUGGUAUCCUGUCUGAAUAUGGGGGGACCAUCCUCCAAGGCUAAAUACUCCUGACUGACCGAUAGUGAACCAGUACCGUGAGGGAAAGGCGAAAAGAACCCCGGCGAGGGGAGUGAAAAAGAACCUGAAACCGUGUACGUACAAGCAGUGGGAGCACCCUUCGGGGUGUGACUGCGUACCUUUUGUAUAAUGGGUCAGCGACUUAUAUUCUGUAGCAAGGUUAACCGUAUAGGGGAGCCGGAGGGAAACCGAGUCUUAACCGGGCGUUAAGUUGCAGGGUAUAGACCCGAAACCCGGUGAUCUAGCCAUGGGCAGGUUGAAGGUUGGGUAACACUAACUGGAGGACCGAACCGACUAAUGUUGAAAAAUUAGCGGAUGACCUGUGGCUGGGGGUGAAAGGCCAAUCAAACCGGGAGAUAGCUGGUUCUCCCCGAAAGCUAUUUAGGUAGCGCCUCGUGAAUUCAUCUCCGGGGGUAGAGCACUGUUUCGGCUAGGGGGCCAUCCCGGCUUACCAACCCGAUGCAAACUGCGAAUACCGGAGAAUGUUAUCACGGGAGACACACGGCGGGUGCUAACGUCCGUCGUGAAGAGGGAAACAACCCAGACCGCCAGCUAAGGUCCCAAAGUCAUGGUUAAGUGGGAAACGAUGUGGGAAGGCCCAGACAGCCAGGAUGUUGGCUUAGAAGCAGCCAUCAUUUAAAGAAAGCGUAAUAGCUCACUGGUCGAGUCGGCCUGCGCGGAAGAUGUAACGGGGCUAAACCAUGCACCGAAGCUGCGGCAGCGAACGUAUCACCCAAGACAACUUUACGGAGUUGACGAUUGACGGAGCGAAGCGACGUCAAAGCGUUCAUUAAAGUCGAGUUGGCUUAGGGAUACGUUCGUUGGGUAGGGGAGCGUUCUGUAAGCCUGUGAAGGUGUGUCGUGAGGCAUGCUGGAGGUAUCAGAAGUGCGAAUGCUGACAUAAGUAACGAUAAAGCGGGUGAAAAGCCCGCUCGCCGGAAGACCAAGGGUUCCUGUCCAACGUUAAUCGGGGCAGGGUGAGUCGACCCCUAAGGCGAGGCCGAAAGGCGUAGUCGAUGGGAAACGGGUUAAUAUUCCCGUACUUGGUGUUACUGCGAAGGGGGGACGGAGAAGGCUAUGUUGGCCGGGCGACGGUUGUCCCGGUUUAAGCGUGUAGGUGUGUGUUCCAGGUAAAUCCGGUUCACUUUAACACUGAGGCGUGACGACGAGGCACUACGGUGCUGAAGCAACAAAUGCCCUGCUUCCAGGAAAAGCCUCUAAGCAUCAGGUAACACGAAAUCGUACCCCAAACCGACACAGGUGGUCAGGUAGAGAAUACCAAGGCGCUUGAGAGAACUCGGGUGAAGGAACUAGGCAAAAUGGUGCCGUAACUUCGGGAGAAGGCACGCUGACACGUAGGUGAAGUGAUUUACUCAUGGAGCUGAAGUCAGUCGAAGAUACCAGCUGGCUGCAACUGUUUAUUAAAAACACAGCACUGUGCAAACACGAAAGUGGACGUAUACGGUGUGACGCCUGCCCGGUGCCGGAAGGUUAAUUGAUGGGGUCAGCGUAAGCGAAGCUCCUGAUCGAAGCCCCGGUAAACGGCGGCCGUAACUAUAACGGUCCUAAGGUAGCGAAAUUCCUUGUCGGGUAAGUUCCGACCUGCACGAAUGGCGUAAUGAUGGCCAGGCUGUCUCCACCCGAGACUCAGUGAAAUUGAACUCGCUGUGAAGAUGCAGUGUACCCGCGGCAAGACGGAAAGACCCCGUGAACCUUUACUAUAGCUUGACACUGAACAUUGAGCCUUGAUGUGUAGGAUAGGUGGGAGGCUUUGAAGUGUGGACGCCAGUCUGCAUGGAGCCGACCUUGAAAUACCACCCUUUAAUGUUUGAUGUUCUAACGUGGACCCGUAAUCCGGGUUGCGGACAGUGUCUGGUGGGUAGUUUGACUGGGGCGGUCUCCUCCUAAAGAGUAACGGAGGAGCACGAAGGUUGGCUAAUCCUGGUCGGACAUCAGGAGGUUAGUGCAAUGGCAUAAGCCAGCUUGACUGCGAGCGUGACGGCGCGAGCAGGUGCGAAAGCAGGUCAUAGUGAUCCGGUGGUUCUGAAUGGAAGGGCCAUCGCUCAACGGAUAAAAGGUACUCCGGGGAUAACAGGCUGAUACCGCCCAAGAGUUCAUAUCGACGGCGGUGUUUGGCACCUCGAUGUCGGCUCAUCACAUCCUGGGGCUGAAGUAGGUCCCAAGGGUAUGGCUGUUCGCCAUUUAAAGUGGUACGCGAGCUGGGUUUAGAACGUCGUGAGACAGUUCGGUCCCUAUCUGCCGUGGGCGCUGGAGAACUGAGGGGGGCUGCUCCUAGUACGAGAGGACCGGAGUGGACGCAUCACUGGUGUUCGGGUUGUCAUGCCAAUGGCACUGCCCGGUAGCUAAAUGCGGAAGAGAUAAGUGCUGAAAGCAUCUAAGCACGAAACUUGCCCCGAGAUGAGUUCUCCCUGAGACUUAGAGUCUCCUGAAGGAACGUUGAAGACGACGACGUUGAUAGGCCGGGUGUGUAAGCGCAGCGAUGCGUUGAGCUAACCGGUACUAAUGAACCGUGAGGCUUAACCUU